CCCGUACCAUAAAAAAUCAUGGGAUUUUAAAAGAAUAUAAAAAUGGUACCAUCGAAAUUUAAGUCUCCAUCCAAAUUUGGUCCACCACCGAAAUUGUUUAGCGAAACUUUGCAGCGGACGGCUAUAUGCUCCAGCUUGGCCUUACCCUAUCCAGCUUUAUUUCCUGUUCUUGCUUUACUUGAUUCAUAGGCGUGAUUCCAACAAUACUACCGACCGUGCCGAACGAGAACAAGAAACCCGACUGCCCUUAAAAGGAAUCACACAAAAAAAAAAAAA
rnacentral:lncRNA from 1 species